rnacentral:rRNA from 1 species
UACGAAGGGGGCUAGCGUUGCUCGGAAUCACUGGGCGUAAAGGGUGCGUAGGCGGGUCUUUAAGUCAGGGGUGAAAUCCUGGAGCUCAACUCCAGAACUGCCUUCGAUACUGAGAGUCUUGAGUCCGGGAGAGGUGAGUGGAACUGCGAGCGUAGAGGUGAAAUUCGUAGAUAUUCGCAAGAACACCAGUGGCGAAGGCGGCUCACUGGCCCGGUACUGACGCUGAGGUGCGAAAGCGUGGGGAGCAAACAGG